UACGAAGGGGGCUAGCGUUGCUCGGAAUCACUGGGCGUAAAGCGCACGUAGGCGGCUUCUUAAGUCAGGGGUGAAAUCCUGGGGUUCAACCCCAGAACUGCCCUUGAUACUGAGGAGCUUGAGUCCGGGAGAGGUGAGUGGAACUCCGAGUGUAGAGGUGAAAUUCGUAGAUAUUCGGAAGAACACAAGUGGCGAAGGCGGCUCACUGCCCCGUUACUGACGCUGAGGUGCAAAGGCGUGGGAGCAAACAGG
rnacentral:rRNA from 1 species